AUAACAAGGUAUUUUGUAAGUUAUUAAACAAUCAUAAAACCAAUAACACUAGAUUUGAUUAAGAAUAUUAGAAUCCACAAACCAAUAACACUAGAACUUAAUAAUUUUAACAAUUACUAGAAAUUCACAUCCCAUUAACACCCCUUUAGAAUCCAUUAACAAAUAACUAUAUAUUUUUUUGAUGAAAAAUAAUAGGUCAGAGGAAUCAUAGGUAAUGUAAGGCCUUUUGAAUGCACAUGAACUAUUUAAACUAGAUCACGUACC
rnacentral:lncRNA from 1 species